AAAAUUUAAAUUUAAAAUACUAAAAUAGUAAAUAAAUAUUUAUUGAAACUUAAAUAAUUUGGCGGUAUUUUAGUUCAUUUAGAGGAAUCUGUUUAAUAAUUGAUAUUCCACGAAUAAAUUUACUUAAUUUAUAAUUUUGUAUAUCGUUGUUGUAAAAAUAUUUUUAAAAAAAAUUAAUAUUUAAAAAUUAAUAAUUAAAAUUAAAUCAGAUCAAGAUGCAGAUUAUAGUUAAGAAUAUAAUGGAUUACAAUAAAUUUAUUUAAAUGGAUUUUAAUUUGUAAAAAUUAAGUGAAGGUGGAUUUAAAUGUAAUUUUAUUUAAUUUAAUAAAAUGAUUAAAAAUUAAAAUAUGU
rnacentral:rRNA from 1 species